rnacentral:rRNA from 1 species
UUACUUGUUGGUGCUUGGGGAUGUUUAGGCAGAUUUGUUCCGCGUUUUGAGGCCAGCUUGCUGGUACCCAAACGGUGUUAGCAUUUUUUGUCUUGGCAUUGAGUAUGGCUACGGAUUUAUUGGGAUCUGAGUGUAAGUUACGGUCGCAUGCGACACGUGCUUUUCAAUUAGUUCGGUCCAGUUAAUGCUCUCGUACUCSUUCCCCAUGUAAAAGCCGGUCAUCUAUCCGACCCGUCUUGAAACACGGACCAAGGAGUUUAUCGUGUGCGCAAGUUUUUGGGUGUUAAAAACUAAAAGCGAAAUGAAAGUAAAUGCUCUUUAGAGUCUGAUGUGCGAUCUUGUAAAAAAGUGAGCAUGGCCCCAUUCUAACUGUUUACAGUAGGGUGGMGGAAGAGCGUACGCGGUGAGACCCGAAAGAUGGUGAACUAUUCCUGAGCAGGACGAAGCCAGAGGAAACUCUGGUGGAAGUCCGAAGCGGUUCUGACGUGCAAAUCGAUCGUCUGACUUGGGUAUAGGGGCGAAAGACUAA